AAAUGAUACCUUUGAGCUCGAACGAUCGUGGUUGAAGCAGUCAUACAGGAAUUUUUAUUCCUCUAAACAGCUUUAGGGAAAGUCCCCGGACUCUUGCGUCUUGAUCUCCAUGGAGAUUGGGACAGGCGGUAACGUGCUGACUUGAAGAAUCAGCGGUUUCAUUAAUGGCGCUAGUUUUUCCUUUAGCCUUUGUACUUUAAACCUCAAGAGAUAUAACUCCUUGUCCAGAAUGGAGUAGAUAAGGAAUACAGUCUAUGAGUUGUGUUUCUUGAGCGUCUAGUGUACGAACGGUAUGGUUGAUUACGCCAUUUCUGAAUUGUGGUUUUUCGUCGUAGUUGAUAGUUAUACGGUCGCAUCCAUUUGUUGAUGUAUCACAAUGGGGCUUAGUCUCGUGCUCAA
rnacentral:lncRNA from 1 species